rnacentral:rRNA from 1 species
UGAGCGACCUACCUAAUUGUGGGGGAUAGCCGGCCCAACGGCCGGGUAAUACCGCAUACGAUCGGAGAGGGGCAUCCCUUUCUGAGGAAAGCCUUCGGGCGCAAUUUGAGGGGCUCGCGGCCUAUCAGCUAGUUGGUGUGGGUAAUGGCCCACCAAGGCGACGACGGGUAGCCGGCCUGAGAGGGUGACCGGCCACACUGGGACUGAGACACGGCCCAGACUCCUACGGGAGGCAG